UUGCGUUAAGGAUUGAAACGGCAUCCUUUUUAUUUUUUGACUGAUAAGAAAAAAAAUAAAAAGAUAUAGUGGAAAGCCUGUUAAAAC
rnacentral:sRNA from 1 species